GUGAGGAAUAUUGGUCAAUGGGCGGGAGCCUGAACCAGCCAAGUCGCGUGAAGGAAGAAGGAUCUAUGGUUCGUAAACUUCUUUUGCAGGGGAAUAAAGUGCAGGACGUGUCCUGUUUUGUAUGUAUCCUGAGAAUAAGGAUCGGCUAACUCCGUGCCAGCAGCCGCGGUAAUACGGAGGAUCCGAGCGUUAUCCGGAUUUAUUGGGUUUAAAGGGUGAGUAGGUGGUUUGAUAAGUCAGCGGUGAAAGUUUGCAGCUUAACUGUAAAAAUGCCGUUGAAACUGUCGGACUUGAGUGUAAAUGAGGUAGGCGGAAUGCGUGGUGUAGCGGUGAAAUGCAUAGAUAUCACGCAGAACUCCGAUUGCGAAGGCAGCUUACUAAGCUACAACUGACACUGAAGCACGAAAGCGUGGGGAUCAAACAGGAUUAGAUACCCUGGUAGUCC
rnacentral:rRNA from 1 species